rnacentral:rRNA from 1 species
CCUACGGGAGGCAGCAGUGAGGAAUAUUGGUCAAUGGGCUUACGUCUGAACCAGCCAAGUCGCGUGAGGGAAGACUGCCCUAUGGGUUGUAAACCUCUUUUGUCAGGGAGCAACGCCGGCUACGUGUAGCCGGACUGAGAGUACCUGAAGAAAAAGCAUCGGCUAACUCCGUGCCAGCAGCCGCGGUAAUACGGAGGAUCCGAGCGUUAUCCGGAUUUAUUGGGUUUAAAGGGAGCGUAGAUGGGUUGUUAAGUCAGUUGUGAAAGUUUGCGGCUCAACCGUAAAAUUGCAAUUGAUACUGGCAGUCUUGAGUACAGUUGAGGUAGGCGGAAUUCGUGGUGUAGCGGUGAAAUGCUUAGAUAUCACGAAGAACCCCGAUUGCGAAGGCAGCUUACUAAACUGUGACUGACAUUGAUGCUCGAAAGUGUGGGUAUCAAACAGGAUUAGAUACCCUUGUAGUC